rnacentral:rRNA from 1 species
CUUGGUCAUUUAGAGGAGUAAAAGUCGUAACAAGGUUUCUGUAGGUGAACCUGCGGAAGGAUCAUUAGUGAAUUGAAUAUGUUAGCGGACCUCUUCGGAGUCCCUAGCAUCAAAUCAUAUCCAUAACACCUGUGAACUGUAAGGCUGUCUUGAAAACGAAAGUGAUUAGAGCGCCUGCCCAUUUUAUACAAACAUUAAAGUAACAAACGUAGUCUUAUUAUAAUCUAAUAAAACUUUCAACAACGGAUCUCUUGGCUCUCGCAUCGAUGAAGAACGCAGCGAAAUGCGAUAAGUAAUGUGAAUUGCAGAAUUCAGUGAAUCAUCGAAUCUUUGAACGCACCUUGCGCUCUUUGGUAUUCCGAAGAGCAUGCCUGUUUGAGUGUCAUGAAAAUAUCAACCUUGACUUGGGUUUAGUGCUCUUGUCUUGGCUUGGAUUUGGCUGUUUGCCGCUCGAAAGAGUCGGCUCAGCUUAAAAGUAUUAGCUGGAUCUGUCUUUGAGACUUGGUUUGACUUGGCGUAAUAAGUUAUUUCGCUGAGGACAAUCUUCGGAUUGGCCGAGUUUCUGGGACGUUUGUCCGCUUUCUAAUACAAGUUCUAGCUUGCUAGACAUGACUUUUUUAUUAUCUGGCCUCAAAUCAAGUACGACUACCCGCUGAACUUAAGCAUAUCAAUAAGCGGAGGA